GUGGGGAAUUUUGGACAAUGGGGGCAACCCUGAUCCAGCCAUGCCGCGUGUGGGAAGAAGGCCUUCGGGUUGUAAACCACUUUUGUCAGGGAAGAAAUUGGCCAGGUUAACACCUUGGCUAGAUGACGGUACCUGGAGAAUAAGCACCGGCUAACUACGUGCCAGCAGCCGCGGUAAUACGUAGGGUGCAAGCGUUAAUCGGAAUUACUGGGCGUAAAGCGUGCGCAGGCGGUUUUGCAAGUCAGAUGUGAAAGCCCCGGGCUCAACCUGGGAAUUGCAUUUGAAACUACAAGGCUAGAGUGUGUCAGAGGGGGGUAGAAUUCCACGUGUAGCAGUGAAAUGCGUAGAGAUGUGGAGGAAUACCGAUGGCGAAGGCAGCCCCCUGGGAUAACACUGACGCUCAUGCACGAAAGCGUGGGGAGCAAACAGGAUUAGAAACCCGAGUAGUCC
rnacentral:rRNA from 1 species